ensembl:snRNA U6 U6 spliceosomal RNA
GUGCUCGCUUCAGCAGCAUAUAUACUAAAAUUGCAAUAAUAUAGAGAAGAUUAGCAUGGCCCCUGGGCAAGGAUGGCACGCAAAUUCAUGAAGCGUUCCAUUUUUUU